GUCUACGGCCAUACCACCCUGAACGCGCCCGAUCUCGUCUGAUCUCGGAAGCUAAGCAGGGUCGGGCCUGGUUAGCACUUGGAUGGGAGACGGCCUGGGAAUACCGGGUGCUGUAGGCU
rnacentral:rRNA from 1 species